rnacentral:rRNA from 2 species
AGUUCUCGUUGAUGAUCGGUGCUUGCACCGAGAUUCAACAUGGAACGAGUGGCGGACGGGUGAGUAACACGUGGGUAACCUGCCCUUAAGUGGGGGAUAACAUUUGGAAACAGAUGCUAAUACCGCAUAGAUCCAAGAACCGCAUGGUUCUUGGCUGAAAGAUGGCGUAAGCUAUCGCUUUUGGAUGGACCCGCGGCGUAUUAGCUAGUUGGUGAGGUAAUGGCUCACCAAGGCGAUGAUACGUAGCCGAACUGAGAGGUUGAUCGGCCACAUUGGGACUGAGACACGGCCCAAACUCCUACGGGAGGCAGCAGUAGGGAAUCUUCCACAAUGGACGCAAGUCUGAUGGAGCAACGCCGCGUGAGUGAAGAAGGCUUUCGGGUCGUAAAACUCUGUUGUUGGAGAAGAAUGGUCGGCAGAGUAACUGUUGUCGGCGUGACGGUAUCCAACCAGAAAGCCACGGCUAACUACGUG